GCGGCGUGCCUAAUACAUGCAAGUAGAACGCUGAAGAGAGGAGCUUGCUCUUCUUGGAUGAGUUGCGAACGGGUGAGUAACGCGUAGGUAACCUGCCUUGUAGCGGGGGAUAACUAUUGGAAACGAUAGCUAAUACCGCAUAACAAUGGAUGACACAUGUCAUUUAUUUGAAAGGGGCAAUUGCUCCACUACAAGAUGGACCUGCGUUGUAUUAGCUAGUAGGUGAGGUAAUGGCUCACCUAGGCGACGAUACAUAGCCGACCUGAGAGGGUGAUCGGCCACACUGGGACUGAGACACGGCCCAGACUCCUACGGGAGGCAGCAGUAGGGAAUCUUCGGCAAUGGGGGCAACCCUGACCGAGCAACGCCGCGUGAGUGAAGAAGGUUUUCGGAUCGUAAAGCUCUGUUGUAAGUCAAGAACGGGUGUGAGAGUGGAAAGUUCACACUGUGACGGUAGCUUACCAGAAAGGGACGGCUAACUACGUGCCAGCAGCCGCGGUAAUACGUAGGUCCCGAGCGUUGUCCGGAUUUAUUGGGCGUAAAGCGAGCGCAGGCGGUUUGAUAAGUCUGAAGUUAAAGGCUGUGGCUCAACCAUAGUUCGCUUUGGAAACUGUCAAACUUGAGUGCAGAAGGGGAGAGUGGAAUUCCAUGUGUAGCGGUGAAAUGCGUAGAUAUAUGGAGGAACACCGGUGGCGAAAGCGGCUCUCUGGUCUGUAACUGACGCUGAGGCUCGAAAGCGUGGGGAGCGAACAGGAUUAGAUACCCUGGUAGUCCACGCCGUAAACGAUGAGUGCUAGGUGUUGGAUCCUUUCCGGGAUUCAGUGCCGCAGCUAACGCAUUAAGCACUCCGCCUGGGGAGUACGACCGCAAGGUUGAAACUCAAAGGAAUUGACGGGGGCCCGCACAAGCGGUGGAGCAUGUGGUUUAAUUCGAAGCAACGCGAAGAACCUUACCAGGUCUUGACAUCCCGAUGCUAUUUCUAGAGAUAGAAAGUUACUUCGGUACAUCGGUGACAGGUGGUGCAUGGUUGUCGUCAGCUCGUGUCGUGAGAUGUUGGGUUAAGUCCCGCAACGAGCGCAACCCCUAUUGUUAGUUGCCAUCAUUCAGUUGGGCACUCUAGCGAGACUGCCGGUAAUAAACCGGAGGAAGGUGGGGAUGACGUCAAAUCAUCAUGCCCCUUAUGACCUGGGCUACACACGUGCUACAAUGGUUGGUACAACGAGUUGCGAGUCGGUGACGGCGAGCUAAUCUCUUAAAGCCAAUCUCAGUUCGGAUUGUAGGCUGCAACUCGCCUACAUGAAGUCGGAAUCGCUAGUAAUCGCGGAUCAGCACGCCGCGGUGAAUACGUUCCCGGGCCUUGUACACACCGCCCGUCACACCACGAGAGUUUGUAACACCCGAAGUCGGUGAGGUAACCUUUUGGAGCCAGCCGCCUAAGGUGGGACAGAUGAUUGGGGUGAAG
rnacentral:rRNA from 1 species